UACGAAGGGUGCAAGCGUUAAUCGGAAUUACUGGGCGUAAAGCGCGCGUAGGCGGAUCAGAAAGUUGGGGGUGAAAUCCCGGGGCUCAACCUCGGAAUGGCCUUCAAAACUCCUGGUCUUGAGUUCGAGAGAGGUGAGUGGAAUUCCGAGUGUAGAGGUGAAAUUCGUAGAUAUUCGGAAGAACACCAGUGGCGAAGGCGACUCACUGGACAGGUAUUGACGCUGAGGUGCGAAAGCGUGGGGAGCAAACAGG
rnacentral:rRNA from 1 species